rnacentral:rRNA from 1 species
GAUGAACGCUGGCGGCGUGCCUAAUACAUGCAAGUCGAGCGAACAGACGAGGAGCUUGCUCCUCUGACGUUAGCGGCGGACGGGUGAGUAACACGUGGAUAACCUACCUAUAAGACUGGGAUAACUUCGGGAAACCGGAGCUAAUACCGGAUAAUAUUUUGAACCGCAUGGUUCAAUAGUGAAAGACGGUUUUGCUGUCACUUAUAGAUGGAUCCGCGCCGCAUUAGCUAGUUGGUAAGGUAACGGCUUACCAAGGCAACGAUGCGUAGCCGACCUGAGAGGGUGAUCGGCCACACUGGAACUGAGACACGGUCCAGACUCCUACGGGAGGCAGCAGUAGGGAAUCUUCCGCAAUGGGCGAAAGCCUGACGGAGCAACGCCGCGUGAGUGAUGAAGGUCUUCGGAUCGUAAAACUCUGUUAUUAGGGAAGAACAAAUGUGUAAGUAACUGUGCACAUCUUGACGGUACCUAAUCAGAAAGCCACGGCUAACUACGUG